GUGCCAGCAGCCGCGGUAAUACGGAGGGUGCGAGCGUUAAUCGGAAUUACUGGGCGUAAAGCGCACGCAGGCGGUUUGUUAAGCUAGAUGUGAAAGCCCCGGGCUCAACCUGGGAUGGUCAUUUAGAACUGGCAGACUAGAGUCUUGGAGAGGGGAGUGGAAUUCCAGGUGUAGCGGUGAAAUGCGUAGAUAUGUGGAAGAACACCGGUGGCGAAAGCGGUUUUCUAGUUUAUUCCUGACGCUGAGGCCCGAAAGCAUGGGUAGCAAACAGGAUUAGAUACCCUGGUAGUCCAUGCCGUAAACGAUGCAUACUAGAUGUAGUUGGACUCAACCCCGACUGUGUCGUAGCUAACGCGUUAAGUAUGCCGCCUGGGGAGUACACUCGCAAGGGUGAAACCCAAAAGAAUUGACGGGGGCCCGCACAAGCAGUGGAGCAUGUGGUUUAAUUCGAUGCAACGCGAAGAACCUUACCUGGGCUCGAAAUGUAGGGGACCGCUUCAGAGAUGAAGUUUCUUGUAAAAGCCCCUAUAUAGGUGCUGCAUGGCUGUCGUCAGCUCGUG
rnacentral:rRNA from 1 species